AGCAAAGGUGGUUGGUGACCCUUUUGAUCCAAAUGUUCGACAGGGACCCCAAGCUAGUAAAAACCAGUAUGAGAAGAUACUUUCAUAUAUAGAGCAUGGGAAGAGGGAGGGUGCUACAUUGCUAACUGGUGGUAAGCCACUGGACAGAAAAGGCUAUUUCAUCCAGCCAACUAUAUUUACAGAUGUCUGGAUGACAUGCUAAUUGCAAAAGAUGAAAUUUUUGGACCUGUUAUGCUUAUACUGAAAUUCAAGACAGUGGAGGCGGUGAUAAAGAGGGCUAAUGACACAAAGUAUGCCAAUAACAACAAUAUAUAU